GCAGCCUGCGGCGCGUCCGGUCGGGCAGGGGGCUUCCGCCCGGCUCCGGGGAACGCCCCCUCCAAGUCAGCUGACUGGGGCUCGGGCGAGAGGUGGCGCUGCGGGACAGGUGCAGGCUGCAGGCCCACGUUUAAAAACGCUGCGACUCCCAGGAUGGGUCGGCCAAGUGCUGUGGAUGAGCGCUUCUCACCGCAGUGGGGAACAACAUGCCGUGAAGGACAAAAAACGUGAAGGGCCCAUCGGUCUUAGUGGCGCCGACCUGCGUCAUGGAACAUUGAGACAGAGGAGGGGAUGGCAGCCGCACGACGGAAGUGGCUCUGAGCACGGGAGCUGGAGCUCUUCGUCGGGACCAGAGCAAACUGAAAGCCAGGUGCCUGUCUGCACCAGGCUCCGCGGCAGCCUGCCCCUCAGGAGUCGCCAUUCCUCAUGCCCACGAGAGGGGAGAGUCACUGGGUGAUGCAGUCACAAUAGCGGUGUCUUUAGGAGCCUGCUGACUGUGCUCCUGUGCGACCCGGGAAUGUUGGUUCCUUUGACCAGCCGUGAAAGUCGAGCGGUUUUCCAAAUUCUCCGAACGCGUUUCCACGGGUUGCCUUGAAGAUCAAGUGAGAAAGUAUAAAAUGACACGCUUUGUCAUUGCAAAUGUACAUUACGGAUGGCGCAACUAAAUGAAAACAUCACGUGAUAAAAUACCUAAGAAGGAAGAUCAUUAGCUCCUACCCAUUUAGAGAAAAAUGAAGUUUGGACAACACAAAUGUUUAGAAGAGAAAAGCAAGGAACUGGUCCACGUAUUUACGACCGUUGCUCUUGCAUGGAGACAGUCGCCCUCCGACAUGGAAACUAAUGUUCGACACACUCCUGGGGAAGUUUUUUGGAAGAAAUGCCUUGUAUUUGCAGCAGUACUUCAAAAAGAAUAAGAAAAAUAGACGCUAGUUUUGUUAAAAUGUGCAGUGUUCAUAGUAAAUGAUUUUGUUAAGACGGGAAGUUUCGUAAAGAGACACGGUGCCUUAGGUCCUUUGCGUUACUGGUGCAAAGAGACGUUCAAUAAAACGAUAUACAAUAAAAUCAAAGCUCAGUAAACAGUGGAAACUCUGUAGAAGAUGCGUGUGAGGAAUGAAGGGAGCGUUUCUGGGUCAAGAGCGAGGGAGGAAGGGAGCGGUGACCCGAAGCCCACCAGCUGGGUCUCCCGACUGAUGCAGGAACGCGCGAAGUGGGGUCCGGUUCCUGGUCACAGGCCCCGGCUCCGAAAGACGCCCCUUGGUGUGAGGCUCUGCUCCCGCCACCUUAAAAUUCUUGCGGAUGUGACUUCGAAGCUGUGUUCUGGAAGCGAGGUCUCAUGGGCCGAGCAGUUACCCGGGAGGCUGGGCCACCUGCGUCCCCCCGCUGCCCCACUCCCGUGCUGUGCCCGUGGGACUAUUCCGGUGGGAAUUCCGGGCCGUGCGGGAGCUCAGCCGGGCUGCCGGCCAGCACCAGGGGGGCUGGACGCAUUGAAGACCGAGCAAGGCCCGGGUGCAGGGCCGCUGCCGGCAGGCCUGGGAGGCCACACGUUUGGUCCGAACCAGAACUUGCUGUGAGAGCAGGAAAAAGCCUGGAGAUGCGCUGCUGCCCAGGACCAGCCGGCCACGCGGGCCGGCCAGAACGACGGGGAAGGGAAGGGGCACAGAGGCCGAAGCACCGGUUCUUUCCCUUCAGGGCUUCCCUGCGUAGCAGGAGGCCGAAAGUGGAGCCUUCAGGUAGAAUGCGUGUCUAUUCAGGAAAGGAAACAGAAAGAGUUGAGUUAGUUUGGUGCGGAUUGCCGCUCUUCUGGUAAGAACAAAAUACAGGAGUUCCCAUCGUGGCUCAGUGGAAACAAAUCUGACUAGCA